rnacentral:tRNA from 3 species
CGGGGUGUGGCGCAGCUGGCUUAGCGCGCUUGCUUUGGGAGCAAGAGGUCCCCGGUUCAAAUCCGGGCACCCCGA